CUACGGGUGGCACCAGUGGGGAAUAUUGCACAAUGGGCGCAAGCCUGAUGCAGCCAUGCCGCGUGUAUGAAGAAAGCCUUCGGGUUGUAAAGUACUUUCAGCGGGGAGGAAGGGAGUAAAGUUAAUACCUUUGCUCAUUGACGUUACCCGCAGAAGAAGCACCGGCUAACUCCGUGCCAGCAGCCGCGGUAAUACGGAGGGUGCAAGCGUUAAUCGGAAUUACUGGGCGUAAAGCGCACGCAGGCGGUUUGUUAAGUCAGAUGUGAAAUCCCCGGGCUCAACCUGGGAACUGCAUCUGAUACUGGCAAGCUUGAGUAUCGUAGAGGGGGGUAGAAUUCCAGGUGUAGCGGUGAAAUGCGUAGAGAUCUGGAGGAAUACCGGUGGCGAAGGCGGCCCCCUGGACGAAGACUGACGCUCAGGUGCGAAAGCGUGGGGAGCAAACAGGAUUAGAUACCCGCGUAGUC
rnacentral:rRNA from 1 species